rnacentral:lncRNA from 1 species
AGAGAAGCUGCAAGGUAGGAGGCUUUUGAUCUGAAGGCAAGUUGGACGAUCUGCUCACAAAGACACACUACUUGAAAAGAUUGAUCAGGUCACAAAUGUACCUUGGCUAUGUCUCUCACUAUGUGUUGAACUAUGUUUUGCUUAUUUUCAUCUUGGUUGCUGACAUUGGUGGUGUUAUCUGUCAGAGAAAGUUGUUGAAGUGGAAGAAGCUGAACCUGUAGAAGAGCUGAAAAAAGGACGUGGUAGAAAGAAGGAAGCGAAGCCUAAACAGUAUAAUGAUGUGAGUUUAGAUUUCCUAUGUUUUCUUCCCUUCUUCAUCAAUAUGAUAUCAUAGCUGUCUUCUAGAUUAUGCGAAUGUCUUUGGUUGUCAUAUACUGUGGAUGCAUUGUAGUUUGAUGUGUCGUCUGUAUUAACUGCUCAACAAACUUUCCUUGAAUAAUUAUACAGAGACUGUUCUAUCUCUUAUUGUUUCAUAAAAUUCUAAUUAACCGCUCAACUUGUGACAGUACUACCUCGCCAAGCCGCGCAUCCAGGACGCGACGCUUGCUGGAAAGCUGGUCAAGUAGGCCCUCGACUGCGAGUUUUAGCUGAUUGAUCCUGCGCAUUAGCCUAAUUGUUACAAUAAACGGACUUACAACAAUGAUGCUUUCUAUAUUGAAUUCUUAUAUCCGACCUCAUCAUUGCUUAGUUUCCUUUCCUGAUGUCAAGACACAAAGAAUUUGAGAUUCAAUUUAUCUUUUUUAGUUUUCACACUAGAGUGCUUCAUUUAUAUGUAUUACUGUAGACACAUGGGAAUCCUCAAGGUGUCAGGCUUGUUCUUAUUAUUGCUCAUGCAACCCUAAACUUUAGUUAAAUGUACUACUUUUCAGGUUUUAGUGUCUGGAUCAUCAGUACAAAAUAGAGUCGAUGGUAUAUGUCAAUUCUGUAUUGGUUCUAGGCAAGUAGGUUGACAUGUUCAUCUGUUAUCAUGAGUGUCGUGUUUACACUUGCAGUUCAGAUAUUAAGCUUAAGCUAAAGAUCUGACUGUACUGUCUAGAGGUGGAAUGGGUAAGCUCUCUUUAUGGUCCUUUUUGCUGAAUAUCUUGCAAAUGCCACACUAAAGUGGGUAUCAGUCCAGUAUGUUCUUGUGUCUAUGGAUCCGGGAAAUGUUGACGCUUUAUUGGUUUUGGUCACAAAAAUGUUAGCUGUACAUGCUUUCAUCUUGAUUAUAUGGACUUCUUAAGUAAUAGUACUUCUCAUUUAGUUCAUUGAAGUAAUGAUACAAUCAAUUGGAUGUUUUUCUGCGGUUAUGGAUCUAGCGGAAAAAUGUUGUUUUCACAUCAUUGUUUUAAUCCAAUGUUCAGCUUUCAUGCUAUAAGCUUUACUGCUUUAGACAUUUUCGUAGGAAAUGCUGAACGUUCGUAUCAAUGAAUUAAUGUGGCCUUACAUGUAGUGCCGGUACUGUUAAAUUUGUAGAUAUCUUAUCUUAUUCAGCAGUAACUUUAUUUUCUUUUCACUUCUUUUUUAUAAAUGUCAUGAAGUCAGUUAUAAUAGUGAUUUCUUUUCCUUCUGAAAGAAAUUGUUUGUCUGCUUUUGGUUUCAAUUUUAAGGCCAGCUCGGUACAAUCUGCAACUACUUAUAGACUACUUCAUCUGGAUGGGUUUGCAACUCUUUGUACAGUUUGCUUCAAUACCUCUGUUACCAUUCUACUGUCUGCUGCUAUUUUUCCAUUUGUCCAGUUGCUACCUCUACCCACCAAGUUGAUUUUCUGCAGAUAGAGUUGAAGGUGAGGGUCGUCUAUGGGCCAUCGUCCGACAUGGUGGCCAACAAGUUGAGGUGAACGUAGGCAACGUUGGUCAUGCUCAAUAGGUAAUGUCACAGCAGCUGAAUUUCUUCAUAACUGGCAUAGGCAGUUAUCUUCUUAUGUGCUGCUAUUUCUAGAGGUAACCCCCUAAUCAAAUAAAAUUGUGGCAUCUGAUUCAUCAUACAGUAUUUGUGCUUGGCGGAAUAAACUUCUAAGAUGACUUUCUAUACUUUGUUAGGUGAAUGGUAUGUAUAGCAUGCAUGUACCAUCAUAUACAUCUAGCCUGCCCGUAAGUGCAGUAAGAAAUAAUGAUACGGUGAGCUAGGGUGAGAAUUUUAAAGUGUUGAAGACAGAAUCAGGCUUUUAUUUCUUAAAUUAUUUGAAGUGGAUCAUAUAUGUAAAACUUCAAAUAAUUUCUGAAGCCACUAGAUGUUGCAGCGUAGAACUACUACUUCAACUUGAAAAGGGUCCAUGAUUUUUUCAUAGCUGCAUUGUUAGCUUAUCUAUUGAUUGUGGUUUUCUUCAUGGUAGUUAUAACUAAGUUUUCGCUUUACUGUAAACUACACAUAUGCAAUUGUGAAGGGCAUCGAGUUUUUUUCUUCAGAAGCAAAGAUCGUAAGCUUCUCUUAUUCCCAGCAAAGCUCUCUACUUUAUUUUGACUGUAGAGUAGAGGGGCAAAGACAAUUUAUGAGCAGAAUGGUAGUGAAGAGAGGAGCUGCACAGUGGCUUCUCGGCGUGACAACUAUUUUUUUACCUUUUUUUUACCUCUACUGUUUUGCAAUAGUUGACUUGAUGUUUUUCUUUGGCUGCUUUGCUGUGAACAAUGGUUGGUUGUAGCUGCUGCCUGUAGCAUUGUAUGGUUGAAGUGUUUUGUCUUUGAUGCAAUCCAAAUUUUGGCAGCAAUUGUUUUGGAGACACAGGAGAAGACUUGGGGCGACGUAGCAGUGUGUGGGGCGGGCGGCGCGUCGGGAAAGGCCACAACAACACCUGCGCUUCAAUCACUUACGAUGGCCUCUGAUCGAACCAUACUAAGCGAGUGUAAAGAAAUUGACAAAGUGCAAAAUUGUUCAAAGAAAUGUGACUUGGGGCGACGUAGCAGUGUGUGGGGCGGGCGGAGCGCCGGGAAAGGCCACAGCAACACCUGCGCUUCAAUCGAUUACGAUGGCCUCUGAUCGAACCAUACUAAGCCAGUGUAAAGGAAUUGACAAAGUGCAAAAGUGUUCAAAAAAAUAUAGAGGGUGGUCCCACAUCUCAAAAUAGAGGGAGAACUCAGUUGUGUCAUUUUAUCCAACUAUAUAUCAAACAUGUGCCUUUUUUGUCAAGGACAAAGAAAAGUGUACUAUGAAAGGAAAUGUGUGCCAUUUUUGUCAAAU